AUCGCUAAACUCAAACAAUCAGAUUUAGGUUUGUACAGAUGUGUGAUACAUGAAGAAUUGGGUCCAGAUUUAGAAGAAAUAUUCGAAAUAAUUGUUACAGAAGCUUCAAACAGGACUGUUGAACUUCCUGCAACAACACAAACCUCUACAAUCAUGAUGACGACAAAAAAAACGACAGCAUCAGAAAAGAGUUUAACCUCUACAACAUCCUCACAUCGAAACAAAAUUCAAAAUACAACAGGAGUGAGAGCUCUGCCUUUCUCUCCUAUCACCGGUGGGAGCCAUCAGCAGAAUGCUAACACACUACAUCUCCCAGCUGUACUGCUAUGUCUGAGCGUGUUGUGGUCAAAGAGUCUCUUGUAGCUCUUUGACCGUAGCUUUAUUGACACUCAACAUUUGUCCCCAUUCCAUC